rnacentral:rRNA from 1 species
UACAGAGGGGGCAAGCGUUGUUCGGAAUUACUGGGCGUAAAGGGCGCGUAGGCGGCCAUUCAAGUCGGAGGUGAAAGCCCAGGGCUCAACCCUGGAAUUGCCUUCGAUACUGUUUGGCUAGAGACCGGAAGAGGUAAGUGGAACUGCGAGUGUAGAGGUGAAAUUCGUAGAUAUUCGCAAGAACACCAGUGGCGAAGGCGGCUUACUGGUCCGGUUCUGGCGCUGAGGCGCGAAAGCGUGGGGAGCAAACAGG